rnacentral:rRNA from 1 species
GACGAACGCUGGCGGCGUGCUUAACACAUGCAAGUCGAACGAAGUGGCGAACGGGUGAGUAACGCGUAAGCAACCUGCCCUUAAGAGGGGGACAACAGUUGGAAACGACUGCUAAUACCGCAUACUGAAGCAGGGAAUUGCGUCUGAUUAGCUAGUUGGUGAGGUAACGGCUCACCAAGGCCAGGAUGCAUAACCGACCUGAGAGGGUGAUCGGCCACACUGGGACUGAGACACGGCCCGGACUCCUACGGGAGGCAGCAGUAGGGAAUCUUCGGCAAUGGACGAAAGUCUGACCGAGCAACGCCGCGUGAGUGAAGAAGGUUUUCUGUUCGUAAAACUCUGUUGUUAGAGAAGCGGUAUCUAACCAGAAAGCCACGGCUAACUACGUGCCAGCAGCCGCGGUAAUAC